rnacentral:lncRNA from 1 species
GCUAUGAGUGAAAAAUUUCAGUAAAAACCAUGCCAUGUCCUUUAACUUUCUUCAAAGUAUGGUCUAUCCAUGACUUUGAAAAAGAUGCCAAAAUUCAACUCUAAAACUUUCUUUACAUCGUUCUUUGAUUCAUUCAUCAACAAUGACAAAGAGAGCAAUAUCUUGUACAUACACCACGUGGCAAUGCUUUCAUUUCUUUGGCAAAGGAUAUGUUUUGACUCCUAGGCAAAUCCAAUUCUCUUCAUCAAUUCAUUUCCUUGUGCAUUGCUUCCCAUGGCUAUGCUUAAGUAUCCGCAAUCAUUCAACUACAAAGAUAUAGGGUACAAAGUGAAAAAUAAAACAAUUAUGCAUCUAUUUUGCCACAGGACCAACCUAUGCAUUGGGCUAUGCUUCGCAAUCAGAGAUUGGGAUUAGAAGUGCACCUCACAAAAUCCAACACCCAUUGCCUUUCUUCCCUUGCAUCUCCCU